rnacentral:pre_miRNA from 1 species
AAUAAAUCAUUUUUUCAGUUUUCGGAAAGAAUUUUUAACUCUUCGUCUUAUUUCAAAAAAUUUAUAAUUAAUAUUGUUAUUGUUAUUACAUGAUAAAAUAUAAAUAGUGCUUUAUGUGCGACUAUUUUUUUAAUUUUUUAAUAAAUUUUUCAAAUAAGACGAAUGGUCAAACGCUCAACACAAAGCUCGGAAAUUUCGUUUAUU